rnacentral:rRNA from 1 species
CCUACGGGAGGCAGCAGUAAGGAAUCUUUCACAAUGGGCGAAAGCCUGAUGGAGCAACGCCGCGUGCAGGAUGAAGGCCUUCGGGUUGUAAACUGCUUUUAUAAGCGAGAAAUAUGAUGGUAACUUAUGAAUAAGGAUCGGCUAACUACGUGCCAGCAGCCGCGGUCAUACGUAGGAUCCGAGCAUUAUCCGGAGUGACUGGGUGUAAAGAGUUGCGUAGGUGGCAUAAUAAGUAGCUAGUGAAAUCUGGUGGCUCAACCAUUCAGACUAUUAGCUAAACUGUUAAGCUCGAGACCGUUAGGGGUAACUGGAAUUUCUAGUGUAGGAGUGAAAUCCGUAGAUAUUAGAAGGAACACCGAUAGCGUAGGCAGGUUGCUGGGACGGUUCUGACACUAAGGCACGAAAGCGUAGGGAGCAAACGGGAUUAGAUACCCCUGUAGUC